CCUACGGGGGGCUGCAGUGAGGAAUAUUGGUCAAUGGACGAGAGUCUGAACCAGCCAAGUAGCGUGAAGGAUGACUGCCCUAUGGGUUGUAAACUUCUUUUAUAUGGGAAUAAAACGUUCCACGUGUGGGAUUUUGUAUGUACCAUAUGAAUAAGGAUCGGCUAACUUCGUGCCAGCAGCCGCGGUAAUACGGAGGAUCCGAGCGUUUUCCGGAUUUAUUGGGUUUAAAGGGAGCGUAGGUGGAUUGUUAAGUCAGUUGUGAAAGUUUGCGGCUCAACCGUAAAAUUGCAGUUGAAACUGGCAGUCUUGAGUACAGAAGAGGUUGGCGGAAUUCGUGGUGUAGCGGUGAAAUGCUUAGAUAUCACGAAGAACUCCGAUUGCGAAGGCAGUUCACUGGACUGCAACUGACACUGAGGCUCGAAAGUGUGGGUAUCAAACAGGAUUAGAUACCCUUGUAGUC
rnacentral:rRNA from 1 species